GACGAACGCUGGCGGCGUGCCUAAUACAUGCAAGUUGAGCGCUGAAGGUUGGUACUUGUACCAACUGGAUGAGCAGCGAACGGGUGAGUAACGCGUGGGGAAUCUGCCUUUGAGCGGGGACAACAUUUGGAAACGAAUGCUAAUACCGCAUAAAAACUUUAAACACAAGUUUUAAGUUUGAAAGAUGCAAUUGCAUCACUCAAAGAUGAUCCCGCGUUGUAUUAGCUAGUUGGUGAGGUAAAGGCUCACCAAGACGAUGAUACAUAGCCGACCUGAGAGGGUGAUCGGCCACAUUGGGACUGAGACACGGCCCAAACUCCUACGGGAGGCAGCAGUAGGGAAUCUUCGGCAAUGGACGAAAGUCUGACCGAGCAACGCCGCGUGAGUGAAGAAGGUUUUCGGAUCGUAAAACUCUGUUGGUAGAGAAGAACGUUGGUGAGAGUGGAAAGCUCAUCAAGUGACGGUAACUACCCAGAAAGGGACGGCUAACUACGUG
rnacentral:rRNA from 1 species